UACGUAGGUGGCAAGCGUUAUCCGGAUUUAUUGGGUGUAAAGGGCGUGUAGGCGGGAAAGCAAGUCAGAUGUGAAAACUCAGGGCUCAACCCUGAGCCCGCAUUUGAAACUGUUUUUCUUGAGUGCUGGAGAGGCAAUCGGAAUUCCGUGUGUAGCGGUGAAAUGCGUAGAUAUACGGAGGAACACCAGUGGCGAAGGCGGAUUGCUGGACAGUAACUGACGCUGAGGCGCGAAAGCGUGGGGAGCAAACAGG
rnacentral:rRNA from 1 species